rnacentral:lncRNA from 1 species
CCUUUGGAUAAUUCUACAGUCCUCUUAAAUGAGUCUUUAGAACUUGGCGAGUUUCACUAGAUACCUUCAGUCAUCAUUUUGAGCUCAAAGAAUUCUGAGACUUACGGUUGGUCAUAUAGAACAGUACCUUGAACUUACAGUUUCCUGAAGAAUCAGUUUAAAAGAUCCAAAGAGUACAAAAGGAGAAGUACAAAUGUCUACUACA